rnacentral:lncRNA from 10 species
CCAAAGUAUUCCCUUUUUUCCAUGUAUCUCCUUUUGUAGGCAAAAACAAAAUUUCAGUUGCAUGCAAAUGUAUUAGGGUUCCAUAUUCUGCCUUCCGUGGCUCCAGUCUGAUAGUUAGACCCUUAUUGAAGAAAUGCCUUUAGCAGAUUGAAUAUGUUCAUUCUUUGUCUUAAUCAAAGUUCUUUCAAGUAUCUGAGGUGAAGUAGCUAUUUUCUUUUUUUUAUCAUUAACACUCACUUUAUUUAUUUAUUUAUUUAUUUAUUUUUAAGAUGGAGUCUCACUCUGUCACCCAGGCUGGAGUGCAGUAGCAUAAUCUCGGCUCACCACAACCUCCACCUCCUGGGUUCAAGUGAUUCUGCUGCUUCAGCCUCCUGCGUAGCUGGGAUGACAGGUGUGCACCACCACGCCCGGCCAAUUUUUGUAUUUUUAGUAGAGAUGGUGUUUCACCAUAUUGGCCAGGCUGGUCUUGAUCUCCUGACCUUAAGUGAUCUGCCCGCUUUGGCCUCCCAAAUUGCUGGGAUUACAGGUGAGAGCCACCACGCCCGGCCUGUCAUUUACCCUCAUUUUAAAGUGUGUGAGUUACCAAGCUCUGGGGUUUGGGACCCAGAAUCUGCAGCUUUCUCAUGCUCCCAAGCAGGGCUAGCACGAGGGAGAGGCUAAUGAGGUGCCCAGGGUGCAGCAUUUAAGGAGCUAUUCUCCAUUGUCAGGUUUGUGCCAGUGCAGAAUUGCCCCUGAGAGUGAGUGUGUCCUUCAAUUUUGUGCUCAUACUAAUAAUGUGGGAAGAUCAGAAAGCUUCAUUUUCCUCCCAGAUAGCCCUUUAACAGUGGCCUUCUGGAACUGAUAAUAUCAUAACAACUGAGAAUUACAAACCAUGUUAGAGGGAAAAGUGGCCCUAAUACAGGUUGGUGGAGAAGAUGGAAAAGGCAGGGCUUGCUUUCACAUGACCUGUGUUAAUGACUGCCAUCGACUCCUUAAAUCUCCAUAGCGUUGCCAGUUAUUUCUGCUUAAGGGACAGAACCUGCCUAUGUAGCACUAAACUUAGGUACAACUGCUUAUUAGAGCUUCUUCUUAGACUAUCACUGGACAGCUGGUCAUUAUCUAUAUUUUUAGAAUUAUGAAUUUAUUAUCCAGGACUCUUAUGUACAUCAUAAUAGUAUCCUGUCAAUAAUGUACUUUUGCAACUACGCUUAGUAAAUUUUGUUGUAGAGUGACUGUUCUUGAAUAGGCUUAAUAAUUUGGAGCACCUACUAUGUAUUUAGCAUUAUGCUAGGAGUCAGACAUGCAAUGGUGAAAAAAUACACAUGUAUCUUGUCCUUACUGAGCUUACAGUAGGGAGAGAUUGAGAGAAAGAGAGAGAACACGAGUGCUAUAAAGGAUAAGGCCAUGAUGUCCACGGCAUAUAACUGAAAGACAGGAAACAAAAUGAAAAUUCUAUAUUUAUGUAAAAAGAGUUUGUUGAUAAAGAUGACCCUUGUGAACAUUAUACCUCCCCCACACUAAUCUUAUGCUUUGUGGCUUAUGUUCAGGUCCUCUGAAAAGCAGGUGCCCAGACAUAAUGAGAUUUGCAUGACACUUAUUGGGUACCAGGCCCAUGAAGGAUAAGGGCAGGGAGCCAGAGAAGGCAGCGAUGGCCUUCAGACCAUGCUGCAAGGCUGACCCCUGUAAAAGAGAGGGGAGAGAGGAUUGGGCAGGAGGCAUCUCAGAUUGCAGCAAAG